UACGUAGGUGGCAAGCGUUGUCCGGAUUUAUUGGGUUUAAAGGGUGCGUAGGCGGCCUUGUAAGUCAGUGCUGAAAUAUCCCGGCUUAACCGGGAGGGUGGCAUUGAUACUGCAGGGCUUGAGUAUGGGAGAGGGAUGUAGAAUUCCAGGUGUAGCGGUGAAAUGCGUAGAUAUCUGGAGGAAUACCGGUGGCGAAGGCGGCAUCCUGGACCAUUACUGACGCUGAGGCGCGAAAGCUAGGGGAGCAAACGGG
rnacentral:rRNA from 1 species